UACGAAGGGGGCUAGCGUUGCUCGGAAUCACUGGGCGUAAAGGGUGCGUAGGCGGCGCGGUAAGUCGGGUGUGAAAUCUCGGGGCUUAACUCCGAAACUGCAUUCGAUACUGCCGUGCUUGAGGACUGGAGAGGAGACUGGAAUUUACGGUGUAGCAGUGAAAUGCGUAGAUAUCGUAAGGAAGACCAGUGGCGAAGGCGGGUCUCUGGACAGUUCCUGACGCUGAGGCACGAAGGCCAGGGGAGCAAACGGG
rnacentral:rRNA from 1 species